rnacentral:tRNA from 1 species
AGCUACGUAGCUCAGAUUGGUUAGAGCGCAGCACUCAUAAUGCUGAGGUUACGGGUUCAAAUCCCGUCGUAGCUA